GGGCAUGUGGCGGAAUUGGCAGACGCGACAGACUUAGGAUCUGUUGCCGCGAGGCGUGUGGGUUCGAGUCCCACCAUGCCCA
rnacentral:tRNA from 1 species